rnacentral:rRNA from 1 species
AGAGUUUGAUCCUGGCUCAGGAUGAACGCUGGCGGCGUGCUUAACACAUGCAAGUCGAACGAACCUUCGGGUUAGUGGCGGACGGGUGAGUAACGCGUGAGAAUCUGCCCUCAGGAGGGGGAUAACGGUUGGAAACGACCGCUAAUACCCCAUAUGCCGAGAGGUGAAAUGAAUUUCGCCUGAGGAUGAGCUCGCGUCUGAUUAGUUAGUUGGUGGGGUAAUGGCCUACCAAGACAUCGAUCAGUAGCUGGUCUGAGAGGAUGAUCAGCCACACUGGGACUGAGACACGGCCCAGACUCCUACGGGAGGCAGCAGUGGGGAAUUUUCCGCAAUGGGCGAAAGCCUGACGGAGCAACGCCGCGUGAGGGACGAAGGCCUCUGGGCUGUAAACCUCUUUUCUCAAGGAAGAAGAUAUGACGGUACUUGAGGAAUAAGCCACGGCUAAUUCCGUGCCAGCAGCCGCGGUAAUACGGGAGUGGCAAGCGUUAUCCGGAAUUAUUGGGCGUAAAGCGUCCGCAGGCGGCUUUUCAAGUCUGCUGUUAAAGCGUGGAGCUUAACUCCAUCAUGGCAGUGGAAACUGAAAGGCUUGAGUAUGGUAGGGGCAGAGGGAAUUCCCGGUGUAGCGGUGAAAUGCGUAGAUAUCGGGAAGAACACCAGUGGCGAAGGCGCUCUGCUGGGCCAUUACUGACGCUCAUGGACGAAAGCCAGGGGAGCGAAAGGGAUUAGAUACCCCUGUAGUCCUGGCCGUAAACGAUGAACACUAGGUGUCGGGGGAAUCGACCCCUUCGGUGUCGUAGCUAACGCGUUAAGUGUUCCGCCUGGGGAGUACGCACGCAAGUGUGAAACUCAAAGGAAUUGACGGGGGCCCGCACAAGCGGUGGAGUAUGUGGUUUAAUUCGAUGCAACGCGAAGAACCUUACCAGGGUUUGACAUCCUGCGAAUCUCUUGGAAACGGGAGAGUGCCUUCGGGAACGCAGUGACAGGUGGUGCAUGGCUGUCGUCAGCUCGUGUCGUGAGAUGUUGGGUUAAGUCCCGCAACGAGCGCAACCCACGUCUUUAGUUGCCAGCAUUUAGUUGGGCACUCUAGAGAGACUGCCGGUGAUAAACCGGAGGAAGGUGUGGAUGACGUCAAGUCAUCAUGCCCCUUACAUCCUGGGCUACACACGUACUACAAUGCUACGGACAAAGGGCAGCAAGUUCGCGAGGACAAGCAAAUCCCAUAAACCGUGGCUCAGUUCAGAUCGUAGGCUGCAACUCGCCUACGUGAAGGCGGAAUCGCUAGUAAUCGCAGGUCAGCAUACUGCGGUGAAUACGUUCCCGGGCCUUGUACACACCGCCCGUCACACCAUGGAAGUUGGCCACGCCCGAAGCCGUUACUCCAACCCUUGUGGAGGAGGACGUCGAAGGUGGGGCUGAUGACUGGGGUGAAGUCGUAACAAGGUAACC